AGAGUUUGAUCCUGGCUCAGAACGAACGCUGGCGGCGUGGCUAAGGCAUGCAAGUCGAACGAGGUCUUUCCGGGUGGCAACACCUGAGCUGACUUAGUGGCGAACGGGUGAGUAAUGUAUGGGUAACGUACCUUGAGCUCAGGGAUAGCGGCGGGCUUCGGCCCUUUGCGAAAGUGCCGGUAAUACCUGAUGACACCUGCGGAUUACAUGGUCUGCAGGUCAAAGAUGGGGAUCUUCGGACCUGUCGGCUCGGGAGCGGCCCAUGUCCUAUCAGCUUGAUGGUGGGGUAACGGCCUACCAUGGCUUUGACGGGUAGCCGGCGUGAGAGCGCGACCGGCCACAUCGGGACUGAGACACUGCCCGGACACCUACGGGUGGCUGCAGCAACGAAUAUUCCGCAAUGGACGAAAGUCUGACGGAGCGACGCCGCGUGAAGGAUGAAGUCCUUCGGGAUGUAAACUUCAAUAGUUUGUUAGGAAGCAAUCCGGGUUAAUAACCCGGUGCGUUGACCAGCUUAUGAAAGGGGUGGCUAACUCCGUGCCAGCAGCCGCGGUAACACGGAGACCCCUAGCGUUGUUCGGAAUUACUGGGCUUAAAGAGCGUGUAGGCGGAGCGGUAAGUACCUUGUGAAAGCCCCCGGCUCAACCGGGGAAUGGCUCGGUAUGCUAUCGCUCUUGAGGCAGGCAGGGGUCGCUGGAACCUUAGGUGGAGCGGUGAAAUGCGUAGAUAUCUAAGGGAACGCCUGUGGCGAAAGCAGGCGACUGGGCCUGUUCUGACGCUGAGACGCGAAAGCGUAGGGAGCAAACGGGAUUAGAUACCCCGGUAGUCUACGCCGUAAACGAUGCGCACUAGGUUCGAGCGCUUCUGACAGUGUUCGUGCCGAACAAAAGCGAUAAGUGCGCCGCCUGGGGAGUACGGCCGCAAGGCUAAAACUCAAAGGAAUUGACGGGGGCUCACACAAGCGGUGGAGCAUCUGGAUUAAUUCGAAGCAACGCGAAGAACCUUACCUGGGUUUGACAUGCACGGAUGCUCUCUGUGAAAGCGGAGUAGGCUGCCUUCGGGUGAAACGUGCACAGGUGCUGCAUGGCUGUCGUCAGCUCGUGCUGUGAAGUGUCGGGUUAAGUCCCUUAACGAGCGAAACCCUUAUCGCUAGUUGCCAGCGGGAAAGCCGGGGACUCUAGCGAGACUGCCGGCGUUAAGCUGGAGGAAGGUGGGGACGACGUCAAGUCAUCAUGGCCUUUAUGUCCAGGGUGUCACACGUGCUACAAUGGGGCGUACAGAGCGACGCGAGACCGUGAGGUGGAGCAAAUCGCACAAACCGCCCCUCAGUUCGGAUUGGGGUCUGCAAUUCGACCCCAUGAAGCUGGAAUCGCUAGUAAUCGCGUAUCAGCCAUGACGCGGUGAAUAUGUUCCUGAGCCUUGUACACACCGCCCGUCAAGUCAUGGAAGCUGGGAGUUCCCGAAGUCGCCGCAUCUCGGCGGUGCCGACGGAAAGCCUGGUGACUGGGACUAAGUCGAAACAAGGUA
rnacentral:rRNA from 1 species